UGAUCUUAAACAGAGGGCAAAGAAUGGAGACACCAAAGCACAGACAGAGAUUGGUAGAUAUUACCUGAGAUUAGCCGAGCAAGAAGACGAGGAAGUGAAUUCGGUUACGGCCGUUACAUGGCUGCUCCAGGCAGCGAAAAACGGACGGAAAGAUGCAGUGAAACUGCUACAGCGUUGCUUGCGUGAAAGAAGAGGCAUCACAGCUGAGAACAGAGAGGAGGUGUGUUCCCUGGCAUGUGAAUCUCGUUUU